UCGGGAAUUUUGGGCAAUGGGCGAAAGCCUGACCCAGCAACGCCGCGUGAAGGAUGAAGUAUUUCGGUAUGUAAACUUCGAAAGAAUAGGAAGAAUAAAUGACGGUACUAUUUAUAAGGUCCGGCUAACUACGUGCCAGCAGCCGCGGUAAUACGUAGGGACCAAGCGUUGUUCGGAUUUACUGGGCGUAAAGGGCGCGUAGGCGGCAAUUCAAGUCAUCUGUGAAAUCUCCGGGCUUAACUCGGAACGGUCAGAUGAUACUGCUUUGCUAGAGUGCAGAAGGGGCAAUCGGAAUUCUUGGUGUAGCGGUGAAAUGCGUAGAUAUCAAGAGGAACACCUGAGGUGAAGACGGGUUGCUGGGCUGACACUGACGCUGAGGCACGAAAGCGUGGGUAGCGAACAGGAUUAGAUACCCACGUAGUCCCUGAGCGGGCUGGCAAGGCGCAU
rnacentral:rRNA from 1 species